rnacentral:lncRNA from 1 species
GCGAAGAUGCCGUGAUGAACACCUUCCACGGCGAGGUAUGGCCCGUGGCGAAUCCACUGGGUCAGGUGAGGGCUCCCGGUGUCCUCCCUGUUCCCCCGCGGCCACCAGUACGCGCUCGGUACGGUCUUGCGCGCGCACCGGUCUGCGUCCAGGAUACCGAGAUGAAGCACACGCCCCCAAAUCCAUUGGCGCCCGUGAUUCCUUCUCAUCUCCACGAACUCGUCAAUGGCGACCACUCAUCACCCCGGUUUGCGCGACUGUGCACAACGCAGCAUGGCUAGAUGAGAAUAGCUGCGAGAUGGGAUAGCGGCACCCGAUACUUAAACCUGCGAGGGCACCGCAACGGCCCGAGAAGAGGGGGAAAUCUGGUCAGCAGAGCGCGCGAUGCGCACGGCGUCUAUUACGGGUAACCAGCGAAGGAGAAGGAGCUGACCGGGGGCCCCGCUGUUCAGUGCGAUGGAUUUAUGGUCAAGGACUGUCGCACCGGACCACCGGUCAUCGGAAAAGCGGGCACGGUUGGAGACUGACGUCUGGGCCCACACGGCGAAGCACGCAGCGAAGCCCGUGGUGGACGAUUGAGGCAGACGGCUGCAGUUGGGGCCCACACGUCGGUGACUGGCGCACGGUUUAGAGAAUUGGGCUGCGUAGAGGAGUUCACAGGGUGGGCUGAAUUGCAAGCCAAAGGCCCAGCUAAGUUAAUUACCCCUUUUCUUUUAUUCUAUUGGAAUUUCCAUUUACAAAUUUGAAUUUGGUUUUCAAUUCCCAAAUCCAAUUGAAAUUCAAAGUUCACGGCAAAUUUGUCUUCACAUUUAUAUGCUCAAUUCCUCUACACAUAGUAUGGAUAAAUUUAUUUAUUUCUCCAUUUAUUCUAUUUUGCAUAAUAUUUCCUUUCUCUAACUCAAACCCUAAUUCUCUAUUUAGGAUUCCAAUUUCCUCUCAUUAUUAUAUUUCUUUUAUUAUUAUUAUUAUAUUGUCACAAAUAAUGCACACAAAAUAAAAUUUCAUCAUGAUGCAAUGAUUUAGUGGUAUACAUAUUUUAUAAUUAUCUGUUUUAAAAUAUGGUGUUCACAUGUGAUGGCACAAAAAGUUCAAACUCCCACAUAGAUAAAGUGAACUUGUUUCUCCCUUUGAUAUUAGCUCUUGCAAAUUACAAAUCGGGUAUUACAAAUCCUACCCCCCUUAAAAAGAAUCUCAUCCUCGAGAUUUAAGAAGGUCUAGUGAAAAGGUGGGGAAAAUAUAUGCGGAGUUCUUCUUCUCUUUCCCAAGUUACUUCAUCCUCUCCAUGGUGACUCCAUUGCACUUUGCACAUCUUUGUCACCUUAUUUCUUGUAACUCAAGUUAAUGUAUCCAGAAUCUUGAUAGGUUACUCCGUGUAAGUCAAAUCCUCCUGAACACUGAGCUCGUCCAUUGGUAGCUGUUCCUCAGGGACACGGAGACACUUCUUAAGUUGAGACACAUGAAAUACAUUAUGCACAUCAGAUAGAUUAUCAGGUAGCUCGAGUUGAUAGGCCAUCUCUCCAACUUGCCUAAAAACUCAGAACGGUCCAAUAUAGCGAGGGGACAAUUUUCCCUGAUUAUACAGACCUGUUCUUCUGCCUAUUGAAUAAGUUUGGGUCCAAAGAACUGUCUUCCUCUAGUCUGGUCCAAUAUAGAGGAAUCCUGCAUUUCCUGCCAUAUAGAGCCUCGAACGGUGACAUCUUCAGACUGGCCUGGUAACUAUUAUGAGAACACAGCAUAAGGUAGACUCUUGUCCCAACUACUACCAUGCUGAAGGACAUAAGCUCUCAACAUGUCCUCCAAUACUUGAUUAGUCCUUUUAGUCUGUCCAUCAGUCUGAGGAUGGUAGGCCAAACCAAAAUUCAACUUCAAAUCCAUAUUCUCACGACAACUUUUCCAAAAUCUGGAGGUAAAUUGUGAUCCUCUAUCCAAAAUGAUCUUCUUCGGUACACCAUGUAGAGACACAAUCCGAGCCAUAUAUAACUCAGCCAGUUGAGAUCACUUAUAAGUAGUCUUGAAAGAAAUGAAGUGAGCUAUUUUAGUCAAUCUAUCCAUAAUAACCCAUAUAGCAUCAUAUCCUUUCUGGGUGCGAGGCAAUCCAGUAAUGAAAUCCAUACCAAUCUCUUCCCACUUCCACUCGGGUAGCUUUAAUGGGUGUAGUAGUCUAGCUGGCCUCUGGUGUUCAGCCUUAACUCUUCGACCCACAUCGCACAUUGCCAUAUGUGCAGCCACAUCUCUCUUCAAUCCAUACCACCAGUAUUUCUGCUUCAAAUCCCGAUACAUCUUAGUGCUACCAAGAUGAAUACAAUAAUCCGAGUCAUGGCCUCCUUCAAUAUGGUUUCCCAAAGACUAUCAAUAUCGGGAACACAGAUCCGAUUCUUGAACCAUAUCGUGCCUUGCUCAUCCUCUGUGAAUUCCGGGCCUCUACCCUUCAGUAAUCAGAUCCUUCAUCUCUUGUAUCUUAGCAUCACCAAUUUGUCCUUUGCGGAUCUCUUGCUCCAAAAUAGGUUCCACAUCAAUAGUAACUCCUUCAGUGUGAGCAACUAUCCCCAGGUUAAGUCUCCUAAAAUCCUCAACAAUCUCAUCGGGUAGCUGGGCAACAACAACUGAAUGAACAUGCUCCUUUCGACUCAAGGCAUCUGCAACCAAAUUUGCCUUGCCCGGGUGAUAGUGAAUCUCCAAAUCAUAAUCCUUAAUAAGCUCCAACCAAUGGCGUUGCCUAAGGUUGAGAUCCUUCUGAGUGAAUAUAUACUUUAAAUACUUAUGAUCCGUAUACACUUGUCACUUGGUUCCAAUAUUAUAAUGUCUCCAAAUCUUAAGCGCAUGCACAACGGUUGCCAGUUCUAAGUCAUGAGUGGGGUAGUUCAACUCAUGUUUCCGUAACUGACGAGACGAGUAGACGAUCACAUGUCCUUCUUGCAUGAGCACACAUCCCAAUCCUUGGCUACAUGCAUCACAAUAAAUGUCAAAUCCCUUCUGCAGAUCUGGCAUAAUUAAUACUGGUGGUGACAUCAAUCUCUUCUUCAAUUAAUCGAAGCUGUCUUGGCAUUUCUCAUCCCACUAAUUCUCUUCCUUUCUCCAGAAGCGAGGUCAUAGGCUAGGCAAUCUUAGAGAACCCUUCAAUAAAUCUCCGAUAAUAUCCUACAAGCCCCAAGAAACUCCGAAUCUCAGUGACGGUAGUGGGCACGCUCCAUUCCAUUAUCUCCUUCACUUUAGCAGGAUCCACUGCUAUUCCUCCAUUAGAAAUAAUAUGACCAAGGAAUGGCACCUUGUCAAUCCAAAACUCGCACUUGCUAAACUUGGCAUAGAGUUGAUUAUCUCGUAGCUUCUGUAGCACCAAUCUCAGGUGUUCCUCAUGAUCACUUUCACUCUUAGAAUAGAUAAGAAUAUCGUCCAUAAAUACUACGACGAAUCUGUCCAAAUACUCCAUAAACACCUUAUUCAUCAAAUCCAUAAAAUAAGCUGGUGCAUUAGCUAAUCCAAACGACAUAACAGAGAACUCAUAUAAUCCAUAUCGAGUCGAGUAAGAUGUCUUGGGAAUAUCCGAUGACCUAAUCUUCAUUUGAUGAUAACCCGAUCGGAGAUCAAUCUUCGAGAAUACCCUUGCACCUCUUGUCUGUAUAAAUCCUCAAUGCGGGGUAAUGGACACUUGUUCUUCACAGUGACGUCGUUAAGGGACCUGUAAUCCACGUACACUCCUUGCGAUCCUUCUUUCUUCUGUACAAUUAGAAUCGACGCUCCAUAAGGUGAAGAAUUCGGAGGAAUGUACCCAGCCUCUUGCAACUCUGUUAAGUGCUUCUUUAGUUCUUUUAACUCUUCUACAGACAUUUUAUGUGUCCAUUUAGAAAUAGGAGCAAUUCCAGGUAAGAGAUCUAUGACAAACUCAACUUCCCUAUAUGGUGGCAUCCCUGGUAACUCUUCUGGAUAGACAUCCAGAAAAUCUCUAACUGCACGGAUGUUGUCACCCACAAACUUCUCAUCUACUAAGAUUGCCGCUAGUCUGAUGGUGGUAGUUACUGCAACUUCAACUUCAAAUCUUUGUCCUUUGGAACUGGUGAGUUCUACGGUUCCCUUAGCACGGUGUAUAUACUGCCUUUGCCUUUAUUAACCAUGAUAUACCAAGGAUCAUGUCUAUAGUGCUCUCUUCUAACACUAUAGGGGUAGCCCAUCUGGGUUAGAAACACAGGGGACGAAAGAAAGAAUUGUAGACAAGGCGAGUAAUUACGAGAAAUGUUACUGCGGGGGAUUUAUUAGCUAAGUAGAUUAGUGUGUUACCUACUAAAGCUAAUAUAUUACCUUAUGGUGGUACAUGCUAAGAUGCCCAACUAUAAUUUUUCAAUCAAUCAAAGAAGCAAAUCAGGCAUUGAUCAUCAGAACAAUCAACCAACAUUUUUUUAAAAAAUAGAGAAAAUAGUUUUAAUUUUGUCUUAGGUCUCCUAUCUCUUAAAAAGUUCAUAAAUGUAGGAUUCCAAGGUGUGAAAUUCAUCUUGUCUCAGAGUAGAAAAGGUAAGAAUGAUCAGAGUAGAACAGUAGAAGGUGAGACAGGAUCAAGGUAAGUAUAGAAAGAGUCAGAGUAAGGUAAGUAUAGGAUGAAUCAGAAUGAGAUAAGUAGGUAAGGGUUGUUCAUUUCUAUCUAGGUUUCGUCCUACAGUCAACAUUUCCUCUGAUACCACUUCUGUCACACCCGGUUUUAAAGGACAAAGCCGGGUGCAUCUCAUACAUGCGCCAAGAAGACAACAUAUAUAAUAACAGAGUGUAUAGAGAUAAAUGUCAUAAAACAUCAGAGUAUUUAUUACAUAGCGGAAGACUUAUUACAAAAUAAAAGAAUAAAUAUAAAACGAACUAAGGAUCGUUGGCGCCAAUGUCGACUGAGAAACGCCACCUAGAUCAGAUCAAACUCCUCGCCUUGUAGCUCCUCCUGAACCACCUGCUCUUCUCCUGUGGGGGGGGGUGUGAGACAGCAAGAGUGAGCUCACAUACGUUCAUCGCUCAACAAGUCGUGGGGAAUAAUGUGGCAUGAACUCACCAAAGGUGGGAGUUCAUGAAGUGUAAGGCUGAUCAAUGAAAUAGAGGCUGAAGCUGAGCAUUGCUUUUAUAAGUUGGUCAAAAUUUUAUUAGCAAUUACUAAGUGUAAGUAAAUACCAAACCUUAAUAAUAAUAAAUAAAGUAAUAGUAAAAUAAUCCCAAAUGCGAUGCAAAUGUCAAAUUGAAUUUAAGUUCCAUAAUUAAUCAUGUGAGGGUCCGAGCCGCUCAUGACCGUGAGCACGGCUAGUAUACCAGUUUUACACUCUGCAGAGGUUGCGCAUCUUUACCCACAAGUCAUGUUACCCAUCUGCCAAGAGAUGGCCAAUCCCAUACACCUCUACCGAGGAGGCGAGGCAGGGUAACACUACGAGGCCUUUACAAAGUUCCACUAGCUUCAGAAAUCCCGCUACAGUUUAUAGGAAGCUCCAAUACAGGGUUCUUGCCUGACCGCCAUCGCAGCAAAAUCAACCCAAGGACCUCCCUACACUGACCACUCCCCUACUGCCCUUGCCCCUUUCGGGUAAGGAAGACCUCCACUAGCUUUCCUAGUUAAUCAGCCAAGGGCGUCCCAUUAUACCCUUGUGGUAGCACUGUUUUCCCGGGUGGUCGCUCCAUGUUCCCAUUAAUUUAAUGAUCUUAACAUGAACAGUAAUAAUAACAAGAUAAUAACAGGAUAAUCAUGUGUAGUAUAACUCCAUACCCAAUCCACAUAAAGCAAUAGCAAGUACUACCCAAAAAUAUUUCAGGGGUGAACAAGGUAUAGAGGUAAUCAAAACUGGGGUAACAUAAAGGAUCCCAUCAAAAUUAACCUAUGCAGAUCAUUAAAAUUAAUAAGAACAUGGCUGGGAAAAGUAAGUGAUCAAGGGCACAACUUGCCUUCAAUGAGCUCCUGCUCAGCUAUCUCUACUUGCUGAACCUCAGAUUCCACAGUGGCUUGCUCGUCUACUCGCAUCAACACAAUACAUACAUAGUAUAGCACCAAUUAACAUUGCACCAAACAUGUGAAUAAAAUACACAAUAAAAUUUUACGCAUUAAAAUAAGAACCUAGGAACAGGAAUCAUAAUUUUUAGAGUUAUAGAUUUUAAGUUAUGAAUUUCCUAAGGUUUAAUGUGCUUGAGAUAGGAUUAAAUGAUAAAUUAAUUUUCUUACUGUUUUCAUGCCAAAACAGAGGCACUAAAUGAUAGAGGAUAUUAUUAAAAAAUUUUAGAAAUAUGGCUCAAUUUGGAGCUAUAAUGAAUUUAAUAUGAUUUAUCCAAGUUUCUGGAAUUGUUUUUAUACUAAAAACCUAUUUUCUUUAUUAUUCCUGAAUUUCCUAAGAGUUCUGGACCACAGACAUAAUUAACAGAGAGUUCGGGGCUUAAACUACAAAUUCCAGGGCUCGGUUCUAAUUAUUUAACACUGUGCGCGGAUGGCGGGUUCAUUUGAAAAGAGUCCGAGGGCUCUUUUGCAAAAGUCCCAGGACGAAGGGGUAUGGGGGAUCUCUGGCCGCAAGAUCGACAACGGACGGCUACGAUUAGAUCUGGCCUAUUAUGAAACGUUACGCGACGACGUCCCUCGGAUCAGAGACCAACGGUGUGGAUUUAAAAAAAAUGACCGCGGCAGGUUCACGUCCGUCCGAUAGCAUCCGACGGCUUAGAACCAAUGCGCGAAGCGGUACGACCGCUGCCCUAAUCUGCACCGUCGACCCGUCAAUCAACGGCAACGGCAAUUUGCCCCCAGGCUUCUUCAACCUCACGACGCGGCUAGAGCUACGUGUCGAAGCCCGCGUUGCCACUUCCUCACCGGAGCAACGCGAGCCCACCCCCAGGUGACCCAAUCACGAACCUAACCGGUGAUAGUGCAUAAGUAAGGAUGACGGUACGAAGGGGGCCACUUACUGGCGAAGAUGCCGUGAUGAACACCUUCCACGGCGAGGUAUGGCCCGUGGCGAAUCCACUGGGUCAGGUGAGGGCUCCCGGUGUCCUCCCUGUUCCCCCGCGGCCACCAGUACGCGCUCGGUACGGUCUUGCGCGCGCACCGGUCUGCGUCCAGGAUACCGAGAUGAAGCACACGCCCCCAAAUCCAUUGGCGCCCGUGAUUCCUUCUCAUCUCCACGAACUCGUCAAUGGCGACCACUCAUCACCCCGGUUUGCGCGACU